UGAGGAAUAUUGGUCAAUGGGCGCAAGCCUGAACCAGCCAUCCCGCGUGCAGGAAGACGGCGCUAUGCGUUGUAAACUGCUUUUGCAGGGGAAGAAAACACCCGACGAGUCGGGGACUGACAGUACCCUGUGAAUAAGCAUCGGCUAACUCCGUGCCAGCAGCCGCGGUAAUACGGAGGAUGCGAGCGUUAUCCGGAUUCAUUGGGUUUAAAGGGUGCGCAGGCGGACUGGUAAGUCAGUGGUGAAAUUUUGCAGCUUAACUGUAAACGUGCCAUUGAUACUGUCGGUCUUGAGUUUGGUCAAGGUAGGCGGAAUGUGUAAUGUAGCGGUGAAAUGCUUAGAUAUUACACAGAACACCGAUUGCGAAGGCAGCUUACUGGGCCACGACUGACGCUCAUGCACGAAAGCGUGGGGAGCAAACAG
rnacentral:rRNA from 1 species